rnacentral:rRNA from 1 species
AUUGAACGCUGGCGGCAUGCUCUACACAUGCAAGUCGAACGGUAACAGGCCGCAAGGUGCUGACGAGUGGCGAACGGGUGAGUAAUGCAUCGGAACGUGCCCAGUCGUGGGGGAUAACUGCUCGAAAGAGCAGCUAAUACCGCAUACGAACUUGGAUGAAAGCGGGGGACCGUAAGGCCGCGCGCGAUUGGAGCGGCCGAGGUCAGAUUAGGUAGUUGGGGGGGGAAAGGCUCACCAAGCCAACGAUCUGUAGCUGGUCUGAGAGGACGACCAGCCAAACUGGGACUGAGACACGGCCCAGACUCCUACGGGAGGCAGCAGUGGGGAAUUUUGGACAAUGGGGGCAACCCUGAUCCAGCAAUGCCGCGUGCAGGAAGAAGGCCUUCGGGUUGUAAACUGCAUUUGUACGGAGCGAAACGGUCUGGGUUAAUACCCUGGGCUAAUGACGGUACCGUAAGAAUAAGCACCGGCUAACUACGUGCCAGCAGCCGCCGUAAAAC